rnacentral:rRNA from 1 species
UACGGAGGGUGCAAGCGUUGCUCGGAAUUAUUGGGCGUAAAGGGUAGGUAGGUGGUCUCAUUUGUCUGGGGUGAAAGCCUUGAGCUUAACUCAAGAAGUGCCCCAGAAACGGUGAGACUAGAGUCUUGGAGAGGGUCGUGGAAUUCCCGGUGUAGCGGUGAAAUGCGUAGAGAUCGGGAGGAACACCAGAGGCGAAAGCGGCGACCUGGACAAGCACUGACACUCAACUACGAAAGCGUGGGGAAGCAAACAGG